CCUGCAGCCGGAAGAGGCUGAGCGGCGACGAAGCGUAGGAGUUGCUGGGCGCCAAGCCGCCGCCGCUCAGGCUGCUGGAGGACGGCAGGGCGGGAGAGCUCAGCGGCGAAUCUGACGGGCAGAGAGAGAAGGCUGGGGGCGUGUCUGCUGCUGUUCCUACCUGGCGUGGGGCUGAGCCGUCUGCAGGUGGGGGAGCUGCUCCUCGCCUGAGCUGCCGGCCCCCCCUCCCCUCUCAUCUCCUCCUCCUCCCUGUCGGCGUUAUCCUCCACCGCCGACUCGCCGUCUGACGGCUCCGGGGAGGUGACGUUGACCUCCACGCUCAUCUCACCCGCUUGGGGCCGCGCCGCCGCCGCCAGCCGCUCAGACUCAGAGGAGGGGGGAGGAGGAGGAGUGCGGGGCUCGGGAGCUGGGGUGGUGGCGGAGGUGGUCUCGGUUUUGGCGUCCUCUGUGGACCCCUCGGCGGCCGCAGACGCCUCCUUCUGCUUCUGGAGCUGCUCCUUCUGGAGGCUGCGCUGCUUCUUCCGGAACUUUGCUCGGCGGUUCUUGAACCAGACCUGCCACACAAAAGCGUCCUCCAGCGUGCAGGAUGACGCUCCUCCGUCAGAUUCAGCUCUGAUUCCUGUGGAUCACGACUUUCUGCUGAUUUUCUUCCCUUUGGCUUGUUAAACUUCUCUUCCGAUCUGAAUCUUUCUCUCCGUCCUCCAGAACCUCCAUCCCUGCAGCAGGCCCAAUCAACGCCGAGAUUUAUAAAUCCUCUGCAGCGUUUAGUCAGGUUUAUUACGCGUGGAUAUUUGUAAUUUUACCCCUUCAGUGGAGAAAGUUGAUUCAGCUCUAAAGCCCAUUAACUUUGAUCAUUAUUUCUCUGUUACUUCCUGAAGCCGCUCGCUUUCAGAGCGCCUCCUCCUUGCUCGGAUUCAAGGUUAGCUUGUGCUCAUUUGGCUGAAAUUAAUCAUUUUGAUGCAUGGCUCAGAAUUGACUGCUUCUGUGGGACUGCUGUGACUGCAGUAACAAAGCGCCUUGCCAUUGGCAAUCCUUUGUAUUAAAGGGGAAUUCACCUCUAAGACAGCCUCACACGCGGCGCCGUUCUGAUCUCCGAGGAGUCCAAGCCCAAACUCCUCUAUCUUGUAGGAAACUCCAAACCGGCUCCUUCAGUCGGGGAGAACUCGACGAUAAACCGUCGCUUGUCAUUCGCUACAUUUUUAGAUAUUUUCUCCACUUUGGUUCCUUUUAUGGAAAAAACAAAACAGUGAUGGAACGAAGCGCCUCUUCCUGAUCCAUUCUGGGCCAACAGAACUCAAAGUCCGUGCUUCAUGUUGACCCAACGUCUCCAGAACAAACCGACCGUCACAUCUACGUUUCAGAAUCUAGAAAAACCAGCAGCUGUCCAACAUGACAUAAACAAAGAGUCCAGAAUGUGAAGGUCACAGAAAGGUCAAAGUUUCAUUUCAGCCUAAAGAGACUGCAAGGCGUUUGAAUAUAUUAUUAAUAUAAUUUCCCUUGGGAAUAAUAAAGUAUCUAUCUAUCUAUCUAUCUAUCUAUCUAUCUAUCUAUCUAUCUAUCUAUCUAUCUAUCUAUCUAUCUAUCUAUCUAUCUAUCUCAAAAUAGUUUUUAUUUAUGAUAAAAUUAAGUUCAUUCAUUCACCUUCUUGUUCGCUUUUUCCCUUUCGGGGUCGCGGGGCUGCUGGAGCCUAUCCCGGCUACUGAUGGGUGAAGGCGAGGUUCACCCUGGACAGGUCGCCAGUCUGUCGCAGUAAUAUUAAGUUCUACUUUCAUUAUGUCUUUAUUUUUGUUGUGAAAAUUCAAACUUCAAGGUUUUAAUUUUGAAAUCUCGCCAAGUUUUUUGUGUGGUUUCAUUUAGUCGGUUUCACUUUCUUAUUUUUUUAUUUUUCUUCCACAGGAUUUUUAGAACGUAAAAACUCAAUCACACUUUCAGCGAUUUCUGCAAACUUGUGAUCAAAACGUUCAGCUCGUUCAGGACAUUAUCACUUGUAUUUUUGGUAUUUGUCAACUUCACAGUUUUUGCAAUUUUGUGCAAUUCAUGUGAUUUUUCAGUCCCAUUGAAAUGAAUAGGAAUUUUUCAAUUUCUGCAAUUAAAAACAUUCAACAUGUUCAGGAAA